ACGGAAGGCAGCAGUGGGGAAUAUUGCACAAUGGGCGAAAGCCUGAUGCAGCGACGCCGCGUGAGCGAAGGAGUUAUUCGUAAUGUAAAGCUCUAUCAGCAGGGAAGAAAAUGACGGUACCUGACUAAGAAGCUCCGGCUAAAUACGUGCCAGCAGCCGCGGUAAUACGUAUGGAGCAAGCAUUAUCCGGAUUUACUGGGUGUGAAGGGAGCGUAGACGGAUGUGCAAGUCUGAUGUGAAAGGCUGCGGCUUAACUGCAGGACUGCAUUGGAAACUGUACAUCUGGAGUGCCGGAGAGGUAAGCGGAAUUCCUAGUGUAGCGGUGAAAUGCGUAGAUAUUAGGAAGAACACCAGUGGCGAAGGCGGCUUUCUGGACUGUAACUGACAUUGAGGCUCGAAAGCGUGGGGAGCAAACAGGAUUAGAUACCCUGGUA
rnacentral:rRNA from 1 species